rnacentral:rRNA from 1 species
UGCCAGCCACCGCGGUCAUACAAGAAGCCCAAAUUAACCGUACGCGGCGUAAAGUGUGGUGUUAUGCUAUCGCAGAAGCUAAGAUCAAAGUGCAACUGAGCUGUCAUAAGCACAAGAUGCACCUAAAACCAUCCUUAAAACGAUCUCAGCACCCCUGACCUAUUAAACUCCACGAAAGCUAAGGCCCAAACUGGGAUUAGAUACCCCACUAUGCUUAGCCCUAAAUCCUGAUGCUUACUCCACCAAAGCAUCCGCCCGAGAACUACGAGCACAAACGCUUAAAACUCUAAGGACUUGGCGGUGCCCCAAACCCACCUAGAGGAGCCUGUUCUAUAAUCGAUAACCCACGAUACACCCGACCACUCCUUGCCAGGGCAGCCUAUAUACCGCCGUCGCCAGCUCACCUCCCCUGAAAGUGUAACAGUGAGCAUAAUAGCAACCCGCUAAUAAGACAGGUCGAGGUAUAGCCUAUGAAGUGGAAGAAAUGGGCUACAUUUUCUAACAUAGAAAAACGGAAGGGGGUAUGAAACAACCCCCAGAAGGCGGAUUUAGCAGUAAAAUGAGACAAUAGUGCUCACUUUAAGUUGGCCCUGAGGCACGUACAUACCGCCCGUCACCCUCCUCACAAGCUAUAAACCCCUUAAUACACAACCUAGCUGAAGAUGAGGUAAGUCGUAACAAGGUAAG